rnacentral:lncRNA from 1 species
UAUCAUUAUUAUCAUAUCCUACAUACAGCUUGCAUUGAGAGACACACCUGUCAUCAGCUGUCGACUAAAAUUUACGAUGAUUUCGGCAUAGUAACGCUCCUUCUAGCAGCAUGGAUGCUACCAGGAAUGUUUGGUUUAUUUUAAACAACUCUGUAGCAUGUCUUUCUCCUCCACCAUCAAUGAAGUUACAACAAUAAGAUCGGUGCAGUUAUAACCAUGUCGACUAUGCCACAAGUAUUUUGCUUGUUUAUUUACUGAGCAGCUAUUCUUUGCCCUUAUCUUUCGUUAUCCUCUCAUAUGCCUCUACCAUAUUUAUCAUGAAAGGUAUUCUGUUCCAUAUUUCAGUUCCCGAAUCAAGGCUCUGCUCUCAUUUCUUAAUCAAGCCAGCUAAGACAUGGCGGAUCAAGCUUCAAAGCUACGAGAUCCCUCGUCCCAUAGAAGUACAAUACGUUGCUGUUCUCGUGUCGCCCACAAUUCUCUUCAUAUUUUAGACCCCUCAUUUGUGUACCCACUACAUAUUAAAAGCAUCAUCACAUCAACAGCCAUUACACAUUAAAAGUCCUCGUCAAAUUUCCUAUCAGGGAGGAGAAAUAGUAGUGAUAUCGCCUUAUGAAUAGUAGAAAUAGUAGGGAUAUCGCCUGUGCAGAUGAAUAAUUUUUGUUGGGUGUAGCUUGCACUGCACUGCCCCUACGUAUUGGCCCAAGAAAACUUUCGCCGCUGAGACAUGUAAAUUGACAACUCAGGAACUUCCAAGGCCUCAGGAUUUAUUUUGGAGAUUCCCUUCUCCUAGGUAGAUUACCAGCCAAGGUUAAAGAGCUGCUAUCUGCCCAUGAGAUAAGCUCAUUCCAGACACCAAACCGACACUCAAACACUCUAUAAAGUGAUCAAAUAUCACUUUGGUGUCCGACGCAGAGUAGUUCAUUCAUACAUGGAAAAAAAGUGCAUGGGAUUUGAAAAUAUAAAUAAGAAUUAAGUAUAAAUAAUAAUAAUAAUAAUAAUAAUAAUAAUAAUAAUAAUAAUAAUAAUAAUAAUAAUAAUAAUAAUAAUAAUAAUAAUAAUAAUAAUAAUAAUAAUAAUAGUAAUACUAAUAGUAAUAGUAAUAAUAAUAAUAAUAAUAAUAAUAAUAAUAAUAAUAAUAAUAUAUAUUAAUUAUAUAAUGGUAAAUAAUUAUUAAUUUCAAAAUCAACAAUUAUUUCCGGGUAGAUUUUUCAUCCUGUUUUACAUAUGUGAGUUACAUGUAUAUGUUAUAUGUGGAGUUAUAUUUGUAAAAGAUAGAAAUAAGCGGUUUUUGACUGCUACUUCUAACUUUUCGGUAUGUGGCUAAGCAACCUCUUGCUUGCCCUUUAUAUAUAUAUAUAUAUAUAUAUAUAUAUAUAUAUAUAUAUAUAUAUAUAUAUAAGUAAAAGAUAUGCAAUUUAAUGAUAUAAAUAAGGUAAAAAUAUACAUAUAUAUGCAUGUAAGAAUAAGAAAAAAGAUAUAUACAUAUAUACAGAUAUUUUGUUGGAUGGCCGUUGACUGCUCAUAAGUUCCUCCACCCUUUGACGGGUCUUAUUUUUCAUUCCGCAGCGUGUCCAACAAACACCCUCCACACCAAGCAAGCCUGGUGGCGUCGACAGUUUAUCUUCCUACGACCCGACCAUGCAACAGGUCUAACUGGAUUACAUGUUACCAAUAGCACUGAAAAGCGACCUCACAGAAACGCAUGUAUAUACACACACACGUAUAUAUGCACACACACACACACACAUAUAUAUAUACAUACACACACAUAUAAAUACACACACACACACACACACACACAUAUAUAUAUAUAUAUAUAUAUAUAUAUAUACACACAUACAAUAGAUAACGAAGGAAUAACGUACGGGUACGUUUUGCUCAACAAAGACGAUGCAAUGUGACUAGGGAGAUUUGGCCGUUAUUUCUAAAAGGACGAGUACUACUGGAAAGGUUCCCUUGUCAAUAAGUAUUGACCCUCGUGUAAAAAUUUGCCAAAAAAUUUUUCCCUGUGAAAUUAGGGGGAAGGUAGAAUUUUCGAGGGUUCCACCCACUCUACUCCUCGUUUUCUGGACAAAAAAGUAUUUUGUGGAAUAUUAGGAGGUCACCGUAAUUUAUUCAACGAAAACGAAAAAGCAUUUCCCAAUGAUUCCGGGAAGGUUGGGGUGAAAUUUCCGAGUGUUCCCGUUUUCGGGGGGAAAAAGGAUUUUGUAGCAAAACGAAAAGAAAAAAAAAAGUCCAAUUAUUCCCAGUAGUGGGGGGAGUUUCCUGCCCGCCCCAUCUUUCCAAACCAAAAAUAAGGGGUUUGCGGCACAGCAGGAGGUCAAAGGAGUUGAUUCCACGCGAAAAAUCCGAGUUUGGGGUGGGUGGGUGAAAAGCGUGGGGGUGAGUUGGUAAAAAUUCACCCUAUUUUAUAUGCAAGCUAUGUUUUGAUCCACGGCUAUAGUAAAUGAUGUUUGCUCAAGAUACCAUGCAGUAGGAUCGAACCUGAGUUACAAAGGGAACUUAUUAACCAUUCGUGAAUGCCGUGGCUAUGUGUGUGUGUAUAUGUGUGUAUUUGUGUGUGUGUGUGUGUGUAUACACAUAUACAUAUAUAGUUCUGUAUGCUGAAUCGUUAAUUAGAGUUGUACUUGAGGUUUACAUUUCUACUUGAGUUCCUACAAAUCACUUACCCCUUAAGUAUUGUUGUAAGGACAAUCCUUAACAAUUUGACUUUAAUCCAAAUAUAUCACGUACUGGACACACUAUUAAUCCGAUAGGAACGGAUGGAACCCGUUAAAAGCAACCUUAAACUUUGUAUGUGUGUAUGUGUGUGUAUGUGUGUGUAUGUGUGUGUAUGUGAGUUUACGUGUGUAUAUAUAUGUGUGUGUGUGAGUGUGUUUGUGUGUCCGUGUGUAGGCACGUACAUGUAUGUUUGUUUGUAUGUAUAUAUAUACAUGCAUGUACAUAUAUGUGUGCACACGCACGCACACACACACACACACACACACACACACAACAAACAUACACACGCACACACAAACAUACAUACACACAGAAACUUCUUAUAUUCAAUACCGUAAAAAUCAGCCAUGUUAGAUACAAGCAGCAGAGCAGAACAACUUGGUUGUCAAGCAACAAGUAAUCCAUACAAAAGCUUAUCCAUGUUGAUUUUAAGCUUGCUUGACGACCAAAUAAUCAAGUGGACGCCUAUGUGGCUGUAUCUGGGUAGCCGAUGGUCACUGUAAUUGAUGACUGCCCGAAAUGUCUUGCUGGUCACUUCACUUUGUCUUUUCUGUCUUACAAAUCGUAACUUCAACUUUGAUGAGAAUGUUACUGCUUCAGGAACAUGAGAGUCUUGCUGACACUCCAUAUGUUAAUGACUGCGAAUGUGUGUGUAUAUGUAUGCAUGCGUGUGUUUGUAUAUAUACAGAAAUAUACAUACAUUCAUGCAUACGGACAUAUAUGCAUGCUUGUAUGUAUUUUUGAGUGAGUAUGUGUGUAUAUAUAUAUAUAUAUAUAUAUAUAUAUAUAUAUGUGUGUGUGUGUGUGUGUGUGUGUGUGUGUGUGUGUGUGUGUGUGUGAGUAUGUGUGUGUGUGUGGAUGUGUAUGUAUUAUGUAUGUAUAUGAGUGUGUGUGUGUAUGUGUGAAGGCGCGUGGCUUAGUGAUUAGGGUAUUCGGCUCACGAUCGUAAGGCCAUGAGUUCAAUUCCCGGCGAUGCGUUGUGUCUCUUGAGCAAGGCACUUUCUUUCACAUUACUUCAGUCCACUCAGCUGGCAAAAAUGAGUAGUACUUGUAUUUCAAAGGGCCAACCUUAUCACACUGAAUCUCCCUGAGAACUACGUUAAGGGUACACAUGUGUUUGGAGUGCUCAGUCACUUGCACGUUAAUUUCACGAGCAAGCUGUUUCAUUUAUUGGAUCAACUGGAACCCUCGUCGUCGUAACCGACGGAGUUCAUAUAUAUUGUUGCAGUGUAAUGGCUUGUGUACCUCAAUGACACUGGAGCUAUGCCAGUGGAGCUCAAGCCAGUGGAGCUCAAGCCGGUCGGGUCAAGGGAUAAAGGCCAGACUAAAAUGGGCCACUUCUUCCCACAAGUAAAAAUGGGUUUUCGUACAGAAGUAUCAGGGACAAUUCAAAACUAACGAGAUCUGGUAGAAGGAGGUUUUCCUUUGGGGAAACAUGUCUGGAACUCACAAGGGAGGCGGAAGAGAGGACACAUUAAGGUUAGUUGGAGGCGGGAUUCUAAGGUGGGCUGAAAAGGCAGAGAUUCAACUGGAAUGAAGCACGAAAGAUCACCCGGAGUCGAGAAGAGUAGAGAGAAGUCGUCGAUAGCCUAUACUCCAUAGGGAGGGAAGAUCUUAAUAAUAAUAAUAAUAAUAAUAAUAAUAAUAAUAAUAAUAAUAAUAAUAAUAAUAAUAAUAAUAAUAAUAAUAACAAUAACAAUAAUAAUAAUAAUAAUAAUAAUAAUAAUAAUAAUAAUAAUAAUAAUAAGGGGCUGAUUGCUACCUAGCUCAGAUACCAGGAAACCCCAAAAUAGCAGAAAUUCAAAAGAUAGUGCUCAUGGGAACUGCUCAUAUCCUACGCAAAAUACUUUCUAUGUAAUCUCAAGUUUUAAAACAAACACAAUUUUCUUAUGGUUUCUUAAACAUUCACUAGUACAACACUAAGUACAAAACCAAAUAUAUGGCACCCUCGGCAUAACACCAACAUGAACUUCCAACUUGUUGUCUCUUGAAGUCUCUGGGUGAGACUUGGAGCCAACUUGUACAAAUGUAAAGCAAAAGUCAAACAUAAAAUAAUAAUCAUUAUAGCAGUGCUAGGGAGUGGCUCUCAUGGGUUUUGAUCUUAACUGAUUGGAAAUGCUAUCAUGUAACAUGUUUUGCCUUGGUAUAAAAGGUGAGCUACAGCAUAUAUUCUGCUCAAUACCACUUAUUUACUUGUCAGUUUCUUGACCUUUACCAGUUGAGCAUGUCCUUUGGUUGCUGACAAUAUGCAUAUUUCUGAUCACGAGCAGAAGUAGUGAGGGAGAAUCGUAGACGGGAAUCUGCGAAGCGCAACGCCCACUGUGUAUUACUGCACAAAGACCAUCAGUUGUGCAGCAGAAUAUGGCCUUUACCUAUCAUCAGAACACAAAAUCCCUACUGUAGCGAUCACUCAGGAGGGUGCAGAACACUUGAUGUGAAGAUCUUGCACGUGAUAUUCAAGCUGCCACUGAAGCAAUUGACAGCAAGAAGCUAUACCAUCUUAGGGAGCAAUUUAAUGGGCCUAAGAGUUCUGCAUCGGCUCAUUAGCUUUCCAACGAGUGCUCUACCAUAUUUGCUAUAUCAGCAGAAAUUAUAUGUCACUGGAACGAACAUUUUUCAGAACUUGUAAGCCGUGAGAUGAUGCGAUAAUCGAUACUGUUCAGCAAAGACCUGUCAUCAGCUCCUGGGACUCAGCACCCUUAAUAAACGAGGUAAUAACAAUGAUAAGUAAAACGAGUUUAAGUAAAAUACCUGGUAAAGACGGAAUUUGUGCAGAUGUCUUUAGUUUUGGUGGUGGUCGUAUCACACAGAAUCUUUACGAGCUUAUUAGAGUAGUCUUGUGAAUGGUUCAGUUUUCAAGGACUGAGAGGAUGUGAUUAUCCUUCCUCUCUAUAAAGGAAAGGAAAUCAGAAUUAAGUGAGGAAAUUAUAGAGCUAUUACUCUACUGCCAGCUGCUAGCAAGAUUCUGGCAAGUAUUCUUACUCGUCUAAAUGAUUUGUAAAUGAUUCCUCUCCGAAUCUCAAUGUGUCUUCCGUUCUGGUAGAGGAACAAUAGAUAUGAUUUUCACAGCAAGACAGAUGCAGGAAAAGUGCUAUGAACAGAAUUUGGAUUUUGUCCAGGUUUUCUUUGAUUUAACCAAAGCCUUCGAUACUCUGAAUAGGGUCUCCUUGUGGAAAAUACUCUGCAAACUUUUUUGUCCGGAUGACUUUGUAUCGAUAAUUAAAUAAUAUCAUAAUGGGAUGAAUGAAUGGGUCAAUAUCGGUGCUGGCACGGCGGAGCCCAUUCUUACAGAGAAUGCUGUUAAGCAAGGUGACAUCCUUGCCCCAACUCUCAUUUCCUUAUAUUUUGCUGUUACUCCCAUUCAUACUUUUGCUGUGGAUUGCUCUUCUGAUAAAUAUGUGAGGUGUCGAUCUUCUGGGCAUCUCUUCAAUUUGCAUCGAUUUACUGCUAAUACAAAAGUUUUUCGGUCUCUUAUUCGUGACCUCUUUUAUGCUGAUGAUUGCGACUUAGUAGUUCACACAGUGAAAGAUAUGCAAAUUCUCAUGGAUCAUAUUUCUACAUCUUGCUAGGUAUUUGGACUCAACAUUAUCUAGGACAAGUCUUUUGUAAUAUUCCAAUCUGCGCCAGGAAACCGUCUAUUUUAGUUGAAGGAACAGUACUGAAAAUUUUGUCAACUUGGGCGGCAUAUUCAGCUGUUCUUGCUCCUUGAAUGAUGAAAAACCCUUAAGGCUUCAGAAGACAUCAAAUUGCUUCAGGGUCUUGAGUUUCGUGUCUCGUGCCAACACAGCAUCACGAACAAAAGUUGUGUAUCGUGCGUGAAAGCUGACGUCAUUUCUUUACUCGUGUGAGGCAUUGAACCUGUAUAGGCAUCAUGAACGCUUCUAUCAGAAAUGUCUGAGACUCAUACUGAAUGUUGGCUGGUCCUUGCAGACUCCAAGCACAGAGGUCUUGGGGAAGCCGACGUCCAGAGAAUUGAGGCGAUGGGGCACAAUCACCAUUUACAUUGAACAGAACACCUUGCUCGGAUGAAUGAUCGGAGGAUUCCAAUCCUGAUGCUGUACGGUGAACUUGUUUGCGGUAAGCGCCCCCAGCAGAAACCAUCACUACGAUUUAAGGACUGUACUGAAGGCCUGUGAAAUAUAAGAAGUUAAUUGAAAGCGCAAUGCUUGUCAGUGCCCCCGAUACAGAAAGCAAGUACUGGAAGCAGUGGGUAUUUUCGAAAAAAAAAAAAAAAUCUCAAAACACGCAGUUUUCAUGUCAAAUUUCUGAAAAGAUAAAAAAAAAACCCUCAGCUAUAUGUAUGUUAUAUCGAUUCAGUUCGCGAACAAGUGCAGUACGUCUUGAUUUUCUGAUGCAAGGUGGAUAUCCAUCAAUCGCGCUAAACUGACCAGAUAGAAAACGUCGGGCAAUUUUUAGCUCAUCCUUUCAAGAACUUCCCCAAUCACCAGGUGAUUAGUGCUGUCCUCAAAUGAAGCUGCUUAGACAUCCGUGCAAAAAUCGAAUCUUAGACGAUAAGAAGACGACUUCAUAUCUAUUAUGAGCCACCUUCGUGUAAGUCACUGACUACAUGCUGACUCGUGUAUGUAUGUUUGUUUGUAUGUAUGUAUGUAUGUAUGUAUGUAUGUAUGUAUGUAUGUAUGUAUGUAUGUAUGCAUGCAUGCAUGCAUGCAUGUAUGUAUCUAUGUAUGCAUGCAUGCAUGUAUGUAUGUAUGUAUGUAUGUAUGUAUGUAUGUAUGUAUGUAUGUAUGUAUGUAUGUUUGUAUGUAUGUGUGUGUAUACAUUAUAUAUAUAUACUAGCAGCAUAGCCCGGCGUUGCCCGGGUAUGUAAGAGCCCCUAGUAGGCAACGACUAAUCCCAAUCUAGUUAUUUCCCUCUAGGGAACGAAGGCGCAUGUGUAGGUUGCAACGUCUUCUCUUCACUCGAACACUUCUAUGUAUACGAUGUUCCUAGCUGUCUCCCGACAGAAAAUGUGUUGCAUAUAAACAGCUUAGAUUCUCGACCCCAUGUCGAAUUUAUCGAUUUUUUUCAAAACUGGGGGAACUUUUCAAAAUUUUCGCUGCGUUAGUUUUGAAUUAUGACAUUGGGCUAUGUGUGUAUCAAGUUUCAUCAGAAUCAGUUGAAAGCCGUGGUCAGGGUGAGGGUACAACCUGACAGACACACAGACAGACAAACUGCCGUUUAUAUAUAUAUAUAUAUAUAUAUAUAUAUAUAUAUAUAUAUAUAUAUAUAUAUAUAUAUAUAUAUAUAUAAAAAAAAAAACAAAGUUUGUACGUUAACCGCUGAAAAUACUAACUAAAAUUGAUAAUAUUUCAGGUUUUUCGUGUCAUUUACAUUAAUUUGACAAUUCCGCAGAUAACUGCGUACUUAUUUUCUGAAAACGGAUUGAAGGUGGUGAUGCAUGUAUGAUGCAUGCAUGCAUGUAUGCAUACAUACAUGCAUGUAUGCAUGCUUGCAUACAUACAUACAUACAUACAUACAUACAUACAUACAUACAUACAUACAUAGUACAUACAUACAUACAUACAUGCAUACAUACAUACAUACAUACAUACAUACAUACAUACAUACAUACAUACAUACAUACAUAUAUAUAUAUAUGAUUGCGAAUGUAUUUGUCCCCCUACAUUCGCUUGACAACCGAUGUUGUAACUUAGCGAUUCGGCAAAAGCGACCGAUAGAAUAAGUAUUAGGCUUAUAAAGAAUAAGUCCUGGAGUCGAUUUGUUCGACUAAAGGUGUGGCUCCAGCAUGGCCGCAGUCAAAUGACUGAGACAAAUAAAAGAAUAAAAGAAUUCCGCAGCUAACUGUGUAAUUAUUUUCCGAAAACGGAUUGGGGAUGGCCAAGCUGGUGGUGUAUUGGCUCCAAUUUCUAGCAAUCCACGUACUGUCUCUUUCGCCAUACUGCUUUUUACAGAGUGAAAAAAUACUCCACCUAUCACUCAAUUCACCUCCAGCUUUCUCUAGGUUUAUACAUUACAUUUAUCCCUUUGAAGUCACCGCCGGACCUCUGCUUUCUCUCUGUCUAUAUGUUCCUAUUUAUUUCUUUAUCUCUCUCACUACAUCCCCCCCUCUCUCUCUCUCUGAUUGUAUAUGUCUCUGUCUCUCUCUAUCUCUCCCUUUGAUUGUGUGUAUCUCUCUCUUUGUAUAUGUCUCUCUCUCUCUCUCUCUCACACACACACACUCACUACCUCUACCUUUUUUUCUCUCAAGAGAAAAAAGCACAGAGACUGACAGAGAAAGAGGGUUACGGAGAAAACAAAACAAGUGAGACGCCUCACCUCUGCUUUCUCUCUGCCUAUAUGUCCUUCUCUAUGUCUCAGUCUCUCUCACUAUCCUCCCUCUCUCUCUGAAUGAUCUGUCUCUCACCACCUAUACCUAUUUUUCUCUCUAGAGAAAAAAAUACGUGACGCAGAUAGAAAGGGUGUUAGGGGGCAAAAACAAGUGAAAUGGAGUGGGUUUGGAGAUAGCGAUAUCUAUAAAUCUAUCGACUAAUUUGUUGACGAGGACGAUGCUGUUCCUUAUUUGAUGAAUUCGUCGUCCAGUAUGCCACCACACAACCUUGAAUUGAAGAAGGGCGCAGUCAUCAUGCUUCUUAGAAACCUGGAUCAGCCAAGAUUGUGCAAUGGUACAAGUAUGGUUAUGACUAAACUACAGCCUCACAUAAUCAAAGCAAAAAUCCUCACACGAUGUGGUAAGGGAGACAUUGUAUUUAUACCUAGAAUACCACUAAUACCAACAGAUAUCCCCUUUCGCUUCAAACCAUUGCAAUUCCCAGUGAGAAUCAGUUCCCCAUUGACCAUUAAUAAUUCCCAAGAUCAAACACUGUAGGUUGUCGGUCUCCAUCUAGAAGAAGGGCUGUUUCUCACAUAAUCAGUUGUAUUUAAGUCGUUCAAGAGAAGGAAACCCACAGAAACUCUUAAUACAUGCUUUAAAGAAAGAAGUUUAAAACAUUGUAUAUAUUGAAGUCCUGUAAAUGUUUUAUAAUUUUUGUACAGUACAUUUCUCUUUUAUCAUAUAUAUUACUUUCUGUAUUUAGAUAGUCUAAUUAAAUUUCUAAAAUUGUGUUAUGCAAUAUUUAAAUAAUUUUUAACAACUUUUAUUAUAAGGAAAAUAGGCAUUACGAUAGAUGCCAGUAGGUGCCUUAUGAAUACAUUUCAACACCGUACAGACCGGAAGGCCAGUUAGUAUAUAUAUAUAUAUAUAUGUGUGUGUGUGUGUGUGUGUGUGUGUGUGUGUGUGUGUGUGUGUGUGUGUGUGUGUGUGUGUGUGUGUGUGUGUGUGUGUGUGUGUGUGUGUGUGUGUGUGUGUGAAUUCCAUCACACACAACAUGGACAAAAUUUCUUAAGAAAAAAAAUAUAUAUUCAAAUAAGUAAAACAUAAUAUCAUGAAUAGCGAUUGCGAAACCGGUCGAUAUAUUAAAAAUUAUUAAAACUAUGUAAGUGUGCGUAUUUUCAUUUUUAAUUUCUUAUAUACAUUACAACUCACCACGUGGGGAUUAUCGAAAUUCCUCUUUUCUGUUACUACUAUAUAUAUAUAAAACAAACCUGCCUACGUUGCUUAACUCCAGCAUAACCUUCGUCGAUCACGUUCCUCUAUUAAUCAUCCUGCCCUUUCCUGCGGCAUAGUCUACCCAGGAGUACAUUAUCUAAUAUUUCCUUUCUCUUUUCUUUAGAUAGUAGGUCGAGCUUAAAGAAAUGUGACUGCUAUUUCUAGAAGUUCGAGUAACCACGCAGAGACGACGUUGUUAGCUUGUACAAAAGUACGUGCGUAUGCGUUGAAAUUGAGGCCAUUGAAUUAUGCGUGCGCGUAUGUGCGCGCGUGUUGUGAGUAAUAAAUAAUACAGAGCCAGAAAACGUGUUUCUGUAUGUAGGAGUGCGUGUGUGCGCGUAAGUAUAUUAUUUAUUACUUACUCCUACGCAUACAGUUAACUACUCACACAGGCUACACAGCCGUUACGAACUGACAUAUGCCCACGCACUUGUUCAAGUACUGAUGCACAGGCGGAUGCGCACUCGCGCGCGCAUACUCACACACACAUAUAUAUACGCAGCAAUACUCACACUCCUAUUUAUGUGUGUUUAAACAUACAUACACAAACCCAUAUCUGCAUGUGUAUAUAUAUAUAUCUGUCUUUUUCCCUGUUUGUAUACAUAUAUAUGUGUGUGUGUGUGUGUGUGUGUGUGUGUGUGUGAGUACAUGUGUGUGAGUGAAUGAGUGUGUGUGUGUGUGCGUGCGAGUACAUGUGUGUGAGUGAAUGAGUGUGUGUGUGUGUGUGUGUGCGAGUACAUGUGUGUGAGUGAAUGAGUGUGUGUGUGUGUGUGUGUGUGUGUGUGUGUGUGUAUUAUCUAGCCAUAACGCUACGUAAGUGACUCAAAGGCCUCGAGUUUUGCGAAUAGCACUUACCAGACUCGUCAAAUUUUAAAGGACCUGUGGGUGCGUGGCUAAGAAGUUCAUUUCGAAACUACAUGAUUCCGAGUUCAGUCCCUCUAUAUAGCACCUGAUGUUUGUAUGCGUGUAUGUCCAUUUUUCCUUUCCCUUUUUCUCUCGUAUGUAGCUAUCGCCUGUCGUCCGCUGCCACCAUUCAUUCAUUCUCUUUCCUUUUUGCUGACUUUCUUUAGUGUUAAUUAUUUGUUUUUCUUAGUUUCAUCUCCUUCUCAUUGCUUUACUAUAUCAAUUCUUUUUCUCUCCCUCUCCAUGUGUCUCUCUCUCUUUCCUUCUCUCUUUUUGUCACAUGCUGUCUUCUCUAUUUCUCUCUCCCUUAACUCUAUUACUCUCAUACUGUGAACAUCUCUUUCAAUUCUCUUUUCUCUUUUUCUCUUCCUCCACAAUUAGUAACAGAGUAACCACGUUAGCAGAAGACUUGAUUAACAUAAAGUUUUUGCUGAUAUGUCGUAACAGCUGAUUUUAUUUUAAGUAGGUAGACAAAUGGAAGUGGGUUCAAAUGAUAAUCACGGUCAAAUAUAGUUAUUUUUAUAUUUACAAGAUUGGCUGCAUGGCAAAAAAAAAAGGACUUGCUACGGGCAGGCAAUUUUGAUCUGGUUUGUAAAUUACAUUCACUUCAAUCAAAUUGAUUCCAUCAUAUAUGCAGGGCUUCCAAUUGCACCCAAAGAGAUAAAGCUCUUCUGUAUUGUUGAAACCCUAGUGGUUUAUGGCUCCAGUGGCACUCUCAUUAAGAAUUCUUGCAUGAAAAACAAGAAACGCACGAAACGGUUUCCAGGAUCAUAUAUCAAGGAAACCCAAACGGAUGACAACAAGUAUCUAUUUAACAGAAAUCCGUCAGAAGAUGGAACCGUUCAAACCUUAUUUAGAUAGACGGAAAUUGACAACAAGUGGAUAGUUUUCGACUAUCCACUCCUAACCUACGCAUUCAAUACACAUAUCACAUUGCAGGACUUUUGUGACAAACGCUCUCAAAUGAUGUUGUUGGACCUUACCAGUAAUUUCCAAAAGGAACAACAACCUACGAAAUUCGUGCUUGCAUUAAAUCAUCAUCGUUCUGGUCCAAUGUUAAAAUCUCCAAACUAUCUACAAACAUGAAAGUCAAUAUUUGGGGGAUCAGCUGUCUGGAUAUUUUACUAAAAAGUUUGUACAAGUUUUCCUCUCGCUAAUAAUGGUACUACAGACCCUAGUCCUAUAAGCGCAGUGAUUAAGACAGCAGAUGAAUUGGUAUCAAAGGUGUUCCAUAAUCUGGAACAUUGUCAAGUAACACACAAGUGGAUGUGUGAAAAAGUAAAUUUGGUUAAUAGCAUCGACUACAUCUGUUGCAGACACUUCCAGGAAAUAGGCAUAGUUACUAAUCAGUGGGCACUGAUGUGGAUCUGGAAAAAAUAGUUCAGUUUUGCAGAAUUUUAAACCUUCAGAUUUACCAUCACACAGACCGCAGCGAAAAGAAAAACCCACAGUAAUAUUUCUGCAUAAUUUAGAUCAAUGCAUCUAUACAAUGAUAUUAAAUAAAUAGUUAAGAAGCUUAGUUACGUGGAACCAAGACUAUUAAUCUUACUUGAAUACACCAAGUGAAAUUACUUAAUUAUACCCAGAAUUUCAGUAAUACCACCAGAUGUGCGAUUUCGACUUAGAAGAGUUCAGUUUGCACUUUUGAACUCUUCUUCACUAUGACAGCUGUUGUUACUGCCGACGAAUUUUAUGUUGGAUGCUCAAGAGUUGAAAACCUCCACAUUGUCUUUAUUUACACUCUUGCUUGUAAAAUGAAGAUAUUAUAUAUCUGCAGGUGGUUAACUGAGGUGUCCAAAACUUCCAACGUUAUGAUGGAUGCAUAUACGCUAGGAUCCAUCACAAAUCUUAAUAUAAUAUUUUGAUAAUUGAAUGAUUGCGGUUCCAGCAUUUGAAUGUGUAGUUUUCUUUGGCUAAUCUGGCUUCAAUGGGGAAGCCGGAGAAGCUCAUAUUUCUAUGAGUUAUUUUCUUCCCGAAAAUCAUUAUUCAAAUUACUUUAAGAAUUAAAAAGAUAUCAAGAAUGAAAGAUAAAGUAAAUGCUUUCACACUUAGUCUUAUGACCUAAAUUUGAUUGAAUUUUGUAAGUGCCAUUUAAGUUGCACACACACACUUACAUAUGCAGGUACACAUUACACACUCAGGAACACACAUAUACACACUCAGGAACACAUACACUCACUCACUCACUCACUCACUCACUCUCUCUCUCUCUCUCUCGCUCGCUCUCUCUCUCUCUCUCACACACACACACACACAAACAUACACAAUUAUAGUAUAAUUUUACUUAUGAAAGUGUGCCUGCAUCACGGUGCAUUGGACACCGGACUGGCAUAAACGUAUUGGGUACUAAUCUUAUUUCUUGGAUGAAAGCUAACUUUCAGGAGAAAUAUAAUAGUGUGUGCAUAUAUAUAUAUAUAUAUAUAUAUAUAUAUAACGUGUGUGUGUAUGACCAUUAAUUUAUGAAGAUCUGUAUGUACGCGUACAUUGAAAUAGGCUCUUGUAAGAGAUAAAUAUUAUUAAUUUAAAGGUCAUAAUACAAGUAUUAAAGCGCUACUAAUAGUUUCAUAUAUUGAGAAAACUCAAACAUUUUCUUCAGGCACAAACCAUGUAUCAUAACGAACUAAGAAAAAAUUGAAUAAUUGAAACGCGAAAAAACUGAGAAAACGCAAAAAGUAAAUAACAGAAAACGAAAGCACACACACACAAAAAAAAAUAAUAAAAUGUAAAAAAAUAAAAAGUAAAAAGGUAAAGGACUAUCCUCCUUAGACCUUAAAUGAUAAGGAUGGAAAGAUAUCAAGUCAGUCAGGAAUAGGCGGAAUUUUCCAACUAUUCAAAAUAUAUUUAUACUUAUGCAUGCAACUACUGAAAACUUCUGACCUGGUGUUCAAUAGAGAGUUAGGGAUCUUAGAUCUGAACAGGAUCUGCGUUCAUUUCAGCCAAACAAAGUCUACAUUUAUUCGAUCCAUUAACAUAAGGAAUGGAUUUCUCAAUUACUUCCCAUUUAAUCACAUGCGGUGUUUCGUUAUCUUCCAAAGCCCAUACGUAGCUAGACAAAGUAGUACAUAACUUUACUUUUGUCCUUAUGUUGGAAGCUAUGUGAUUGGCAUAGCGAUUUUUAAAUUCCCCUUCACAUAAUCCAAUGUAGGUCUUCUUAUCAGUUGUAUUAUUAUUUAGGGUUGCCGUAACUUAUGCCCCAUAUAUGAUAGAUUUAGUCAUACAUCGUUGGUCAAGUAGACAGGAACCUGGGUCGCGACGGUUGCAAAUGGAUGUAGGCUUUUGGUAUUGACCACGUGUAAUAAUACUCUUCAUAUUGGGGCAGCAACUAUAUGAUAAUUUCACAGAAAUAUAAUAUUUUCCUGUAUUUGUGAGUUGCUGGAAAGUGUUUUUCUAAGAGUGACAGGAAUCUUUUACCAAUGUUAGUUUUUAUAUUAAAGGAAAAGGGAGGGGUGAACCAAAUAAUUUUCCUUCGUUAUUUCUAGGUUUCUUAUUCUUAUUCUUAUCAAUACUCGAGUGGUUAUAUAUUACCUUAUCUUUGAUGCCAUUAGAUCUAUUAUUAAUAUUUUAAUUAUUAUUAGAGGGAUUAUAUUAAUUUAUCUUUGAAGCCACUAUUGGCUAGGGCCGUGUUAUAAUAAGGCGCAGCUUUUUCGAAAAUUUCUUUAGAAGGAGAGUGGUUAGACACUCUUACUAAUAUUAGCUAUCAGGUUUUUAAAUAUUACAGGAGUAUGACGAGACUGUUUAUGCAUAUAUGCGAGUUUCUCAUUAGGUUUAUGGAAAGGUUUAUACUAGGAGUUUAGAUCUAGGGAAACAUCUGAAUAAUCAACUAUAGAGAGAUUAGUAGCUACUGCAAUUUUAAGUCCUAAUUGAUUAAAGGUAGAAAUAUGUUGCUUUAUAAAUCUAUCAAGGGUGUGAGCAUCACACCCAUGGGAAAUACCUAUAUAUAUAUAUAUAUAUAUAUAUAUAUAUAUAUAUAUAUAUAUAUAUAGGCCGGAUGUGUGUACUAAGCAGUGCGUGAUCUCCGUGAAACCUGAUUCUAUGACCCAGUUAUUUAAAAAAUUGUCGGAGUCGCUUCCUGCUAAGAAGUUUGGUAAUGCCAUCGAGAGACUUCUCUGGACAUUGCAGCUAACGACCAAUCACUUUCUGUUGAAAAUAUGACGAUAUAUAAGCCAAGAAGGGGGCCUCUUCGAGUUCAGGCAAUUUGCCAGAGUUAGCAGUCAAAUACCCAUUAACCCAUACUUGGCACAAUGUUAUCCGGGUAUACUAUUCCAGAGGAACAGAUCGUAUGGUUAUAGCUGCACUGAUCUUUCAUCAUAGAUCUGUCUGUUCUGUUAAGGUUAACUUGGGGUUGAACAGUAGCAACAACAAUAACAACAGUAACGCCGAUGAUAUACAUUUAGUUAAGAAAGCAUUAGUUUGUUUCGUUAUUGCUGUUCUUGUUUAACAGACUCUUCUUAUUCAUCACCCCCACUCCUUUUUUCUUCUUUUAUUUCAUUUCUUCAUUCUUUGAUAUAUUUUCUUCUUUCCUCCUUUUUUUCGUCCUUCUUUCUGUCUUGCCAAAUUUUUCCUCUUUUCUUUCGUUCCAUCUAUACACUUUUUAUAUUUCUUUAUUAAUGAAAGAAAGGAAUAACAGAAAAAAUAUAUAUAAAAAAAAGUACAUAUUUUUCUCAUUUUUUCUUCUUUUUCCCUGCACUCUUUCUUCUUCUCGUUCAAUCUCCUUUUCUCCAGCUUUCGCUCAUACCUUACUCUCAAUCUCCCUCAUCUCCGUCUUUUCUUUUUUUUUCUUCUUUUCCUUACCUUACUGACCGGAGAUUUCCUUAUAUGGCCAUGUCCAUCGUGCGCGGUGAAGUCAGCCACAGCUAAGCCUCCACGACAUGUUUCAGCCGAAAUAAGUGUAACACGUGACUCAUGAAGACGCGUAUGCAAUGGUGGGAGUCAAAAAGAUCCGAAAUAAAUAAUAGAAUCACAAAAUAAGAGAAUUGUAAUGAGAUUUGCCGUAUUUCAUCGAUGUCGUUGUCAUUAUAUUCCUCUUCCACCUCGUCGUCGUCAUCAUCGUCAACUUCUUCUUCUUCUUCUUCUUCUUCUUCUUCUUCUUCUUCUUCUUCUUCUUCUUCUUCUUCUUCUUCUUCUUCUUCUUCUUUAUUAAUUUUAUUAUAAAGGCUGUAAGCUGGCAGAACCGGGACAAAAUGCGUGUCGGGACAAAAUGCUUCAGCUCUUUACAUUUCUUCCGGCUUUUUACUAUCUGUCUUCAAAUCCUACCGAUGUCUUCUAUGCCUUUCUUUCUUUUAUUCUUUCUUUCUUUCUUUCUUUCUUUCUUUCUUUCUUUCUUUCUUUCUUCAAGGUCAAUGAAAUAGGUACCUAUUUCUUUACUACCCACAAGGGAGCUAAACACAGAGAGGACAAACAAGGACAGUCACACGGAUUAAGUCGAUUAUGUCGACCCCAGUGCGUAACUGGUACUUAUUUAAUCAACCCCGAAAGGAUGAAAGGCAAAGUCGACCUCGGCGGAAUUUGAACUCAGAACGUAACGGCAGAUGAAAUACGGCUGCGCAUUUCGCCCGGCGUGCUAACGAUUCUACCAGCUCGCCGCCUAAAUGAAAUAGGUACCAGUUCAGCACUGGGAUCGAUGUAACUGACUAACCCCUUUCUCCUAAAUUUCGGGAUUUGUGUUGUUGCUGUUGCUUGUGUUGCUGUUGUGUUACGGACGUGUCACAAAACCCUCUCAGUAUAUUGUAUUUUCUUUUUUACCAAGUACAACCGAAGAAGUCAGUUGCCUGAGAAGUAUAACCUUGGGAAAAUAUUCCCUUUAUGGAUAAUUUUCGACAUGGAACCCCCUUGAAUGUGUUAGUCGUCACCCCACCCCUCCCCAUUAACAAACAAAACCGGUUAAUUUUUGAAAUAAUUGCUCCCCGCCCUUAUUUUGUUCACAAUACAGAAAAAGAUGGUUUCUCGUCUAGGAAGCUUAGAAAUAAAAAGUGAACUUGAAAGUGACAACACGGUGAACAAGCAAACUAAAAGAUAACAAAAAAAAAAGAAAGAAAAACCCUCUAAUAAAGUAAGAGAACAAAUUCAUUUUCAUAAAUCUCAUAUGUUGUACGUGAAAAGAGAAUGACGUAUUUUACGUUUACAAAAUGUCAAUUUGAACAAUUUGAACACCAGUAACAACAACAAAUACACACACAUGCGCACGCACACACACAUACACACACACGUACGCACGCACACCCAUACACAUAUAGACACACACACACCCAUACACACAUAGUCACACACACACACGCACGCACAUACGCACAUGCACAAAUACACACACUCAUAGACAUGCUACUUUUUAAC